ensembl:lncRNA
AAUUUUCGGGAGGAGAUUUGGAAGAUUCUCACUGUCUUCGUAGUCAAGGCUAAGUCAAGUUACAGCACUUCCAGAAGAUAUUGUUUUCCCCCUGAGGACGCUCUUGGAGGUUGCUGCAAUGGAGCAGAAAUUGGCAGACCCAACCUUCAACAAACAAGUGGUUGGCGUGGUGGCAGAAAUUGGAGGAAGAACAUUGGAUGAAGCCACCAGAAGAAUGAUGGCCUUCCUUUUAGACCACUCCCUAUCAAGAGAGUACAAUUUUGUUGGCUGCAAUGGAAAGCGAGAGUUUCGGGGCUCAAACUGUUUGAGGUUGUAUAUGGAAGUUUGAAAAAAAAUGCCCUUGCAAACCAGAUUACUAGAAGAGAUGCUGAAAAGGCAGUGUCAAAGUGGCUAAUUGGUGCCAGGGACAGGGGAGGAAACCGUACAGCGAGGGCACGUGGUGGAGAGCAAGAUGGGUAAAAGUCAUUAUCAUUAAAACUGCAGUUAAAAAGUGUUUAGCCUACUUAUAUUUGUGUAAAACACAACAUUGGGCUUUUGUCAAACUUUAAACUUUUGUAGGCUAACCUACAACUGUCACCCAACCAAAAUCACACACACACACACACAGUUCAGUGGUUCUGGAGAUUUA